UUGGGGACACGUAAGGAAAGCGGAAGCCGGGAAUGGAAAGCCCGGUGCAAGCGGGGUACCAGUCACUUUGGCAAAUCCGGGUGGCAAUGGGAAGCCGUGAUGCGGAGCGAAAUAAAGUAGCGAAGUCCGUGAGCCAUGCGUCAAGAAAAGCCGCUAUCGUUUAUACCGUACCCGUACCGUAAACCGACACAGGUGGAUGAGGAGAGAAUCCUAAGGCCGGCGGAAGAAGCAUUGUCAAGGAACUCGGCAAAAUGGCCCCGUAACUUAGGGAUAAGGGGUGCCUGGGAAACCAGGCCGCAGAGAAUAGGCUCAAGCAACUGUUUAGCAAAAACACAGGUCUAUGCGAAACCGAGAGGUGAGGUAUAUGGGCUGACGCCUGCCCGGUGCUGGAAGGUUAAGAGGAGAGGUUAGCGGUAACGCGAAGCUUUGAAUUUAAGCCCUAGUAAACGGCGGCCGUAACAAUAACGGUCCUAAGGUAGCGAAAUUCCUUGUCGGGUAAGUUCCGACCCGCACGAAAGGCGUAAUGAUUUGAGCGCUGUCUCGACAAUGCAUCCGGUGAAAUUGAAGUACCAGUGAAGAUGCUGGUUACCUGCGCCAGGACGGAAAGACCCCAUGGAGCUUUACUCCAGUCUGGUACUGGGACUCGGUAUUGCAUGUACAGGAUAGGUGGGAGGCUAGGAGAUGGUAACGCCAGUUGCCAUGGAGCCGCUGUUGGGAUACCACCCUUGCAGUAUUGGGUUUCUAACCAGCCGCCGUGACCCGGCGGUGGGACAAUGCCAGACGGGGAGUUUGACUGGGGCGGUCGCCUCCGAUAGGGUAUCGGAGGCGCCCAAAGGUUCCCUCAGAAUGGACGGAAACCAUUCGAAGAGUGCAAAGGCAGAAGGGAGCUUGACUGCGACACCGACGGGUGGAGCAGGUACGAAAGUAGGGCUUAGUGAUCCGGUGGUAUUAAGUGGGAAUGCCAUCGCUCAACGGAUAAAAGCUACCCUGGGAUAACAGGCUUAUCACUCCCAAGAGUUCACAUCGACGGAGUGGUUUGGCACCUCGAUGUCGGCUCAUCGCAUCCUGGGGCUGUAGUAGGUCCCAAGGGUUGGGCUGUUCGCCCAUUAAAGCGGUACGCGAGCUGGGUUCAGAACGUCGUGAGACAGUUCGGUCCCUAUCCGGCGUGGGCGUAGGAUAUCUGAGAGGAGCUGUCCUUAGUACGAGAGGACCGGGAUGGACGGGCCGCUGGUGCAUCGGUUAGACUGCCAAGUCUACGGCCGAGUAGCCAAGCCCGGAAGGGAUAAACGCUGAAGGCAUCUAAGCGUGAAGCCCCCCUUAAGAUGAGAUAUCCCAUUCGAAAGAAGUAAACCCCCUUGAAGACGACGAGGUAGAUAGGGCAGAGGUGGAAGUGCAGUAAUGCAUGGAGCUGACUGUUACUAAUCGGGUGAGGGCUUGACC
rnacentral:rRNA from 1 species